GCGGUUCCCUCCACAGAGACUCGGUUUUUCCGCUCCGCCGCCUCUCGACGUUUGCUUGACAGGUCUCGGCGGACAGCUGCCUCGGGUGCGGUUCUUCGAGGCUGGGCUCUUUCCCUACAGACCUCUCCUCUGGUCUCUACCUCAGCCCGGCACCGAGCCGCGGGGAAUCUCAGCGGUCCGGGAUCACCGAUCUUUGCCGAGAAAGAGUGUCAGCUCCUGCGGCGUUCCCGAACAGCGGCCGAAGACGCUCCCGAGCGCUCCCGAAGAACCCCGGCCGCUCGCAGUCUCCGGAAAUAGCCGAGGGAGCUUUCCACCCUCGGUCUGCCGAGUCCUUCCGAAAAGGGCCGAAAAGCUCCGAGCGGCCGUCCUGCCGGACUGCUGGAGGCGGCCGCAGCGCCAU
rnacentral:lncRNA from 1 species